UUACAAUAAAGAGCAGAGCUUCAUUACCCACUUUUAGAGGACUUGGCACAGGAAAGCACUGCAAAGAUCAAACUAGAAAGCCUACAGGGGAACGAAUCUCUCCACUGUGCUCUGGAGAAAGGAGAAGAGGCAAACCAAAUGACCACUGUAAACCUGAAGGAGUCAGAUUUUGGUGUCCUUAUUUCUUUCUUUCUGGAAUUUAGUGACAGAUACAUCUCAGGUGAGAGCUGAGGGAUAAAUGUCGGACACAAACCAUACUGCUAGUUUUAUAACUUCUUGUUGUGAGUUUUUAGUUUCAUGUCUAUGAUGAGCGCAGCUUAGUUUUUGAACAUCCAGGCAACAGGUCUUCAAUCUUCUGUUGGAUAAAAUGUCAGCAAAUGAUGACCUACAUUUUGCUAAAACUAUUUUUUUAAUUUCAUGAUGAAGUGUGGC
rnacentral:lncRNA from 1 species